GUGCUCGCUUCAGCGGCACAUAUACUAAAAUUGGAAGGAUACAGAAAAGAUUAGCAUGGCCUCUUUAAUAAAAAAAGAAAAUGAAUUU
ensembl:snRNA U6 U6 spliceosomal RNA